ensembl:lncRNA
CUGACGACACAGCUUAAAGCUCAUUGGUUCAGACAACUGUGAUGCUGCGUUCUCUUCUAAAAUAUUUUAUUUUUUAUCUGAUUUCAUGUGUUUGUGUGUUUUACAGCUUUCUGUCACAGAGGAGUCAAAGUCUCUGGUCAAAGGUAUGAAUAAAUAUGAAUUAUAUGUGCUGUCACAUAGUGAAAUUUCACAGUCACAAGAGGUCCAUUGUCUUUUGUCGAUCCACUUGUUAAAGGUACACUAUAUAACUUCUUUUGUUGAAAAGAAUUGUGAGAUUUAAACUUGCAGUUGCAAGAUAAAAAAGUGGCAAUUAUUUAUUUUUACUAUUAUAAACUGUAUCCUUAAUUUGUGUUUUUGCUUCACUUUAAAUGCAUUUCUAAACUUAAUGAAGUCAGUGUUGCAUUGGAGUAAUGUUUGAAUGUCGACUGAGUCAGAUUUAUAUGUUUGCUGCGGAUUGUUUUCAGGCCUUCUACAUUAUUUGUACUUAGUACAGAAGUGUCCAUUAAAAGCUGUGCAUGAUUGUUAAUGCAUUUUUAUCUAUUCAGAACCUGAACUGGCUAGCUGACCUUUGCACUUCAGCCACUGUCCAGACCUGACACCCCUGCUCCACCGCAUCAAUCCAUGUUGUUUUACCACUUAUUAUCACUUAUUUAAAUAAAACUGAAUAGUAAUCCGUUUUGGUUAGGAAUCUUGAAUUUGAAUCCUCAGCUAUUGGCACAGUAUAUCCACUUGAAAGUUGUUUAGUAUCUGUCAGUUUGUCCAAAAAACUAACCCUGAGUAUGAGCAAUAAACAGCGAACAUUGCUUUAGAUUUGAGAGCAAACAAGAAGGACACAGCCCUGUCCUUCAGAAGCUGUUUCUGAUCUUACCCACCUACGCUCAGCAGCAGAGACCAAAGGCUGGCGCUUUAUAAUUAAAGUGCACAGGAUUAUCUGUGUCUGAGACCCAGAACACAUCACGGGAAUGCCCUGUCAAACAUUAAAC